rnacentral:lncRNA from 1 species
AUUCUGCAGUUACUUGUUAUGUUUCUUUUCAUUAUAUGUUUUUGGUAAUUUCUGGUGGGGAGGCUUUGGUCUUGUGAUGCAAUUAAAAAUCCUUCAGUCUCUACUUUGAGUCAUGAGCUUCUCAACCAUUGCUGGGAUUUUUCUCUGUCUAUUUCUUUUGCAUUUACUUUAGCCCAGUAUUUGCCACGAAGAGGCUUUUCUUGCCAUCGUUUUAACAUAGUCCGUUGCUGUUCUAGUUUUAGUUUGGGUGUCAUAUGUUUUAUAGCUUUUGGGACGGCUAGAGUGUUGAGACCUAUUAUCUUGUUUUUCGCAUUGAGCUCUGUUUUCAGUAUCAAUCUAACUCGUUUGUAGUAUUAUUUUCUUAUCUUUUCUUUCACUUGUGUGUGUGGUAUCGUAUCUAGUAUUUCUUAUGUCUGGCUUUGGUCUAAUUCUCUUAUUUCAAUGGCUUUAUCUAGUGUGAUGUUGUUACUCUUAACUAGUUUUCCUCUUUUCGAUGUUACUUUGAUACAUUUAUCAUGUUUAAUUCAACUGUCUGUAGUAAUGUUUCCAACUAUUUAUCAUUUGUAGCCUACAGUUUUAGAUCACCCACAUAUAAGAGGUGGCUGAUUGUUUUGCCGUAACAGUUGUAUCCACAUUCCAGUUCUGCUUAGCAUGUCAGAUAAAAGUGUCAGUGCCAAACGGAAAAGGAGUGAUGAGAGCGUGUCUCCCUGGAAUAUUUCUCUUCUAAUGGUUUUUAUGAGUCCCUUUUUUGUCUGGAGCUUUUAUUAUUAUUAUUAUUGUUCUUCUUCUUUUUGUUCUUCUUUUUCUUCUUCUUCUUCUUCUUCUUCUUCUGUUUUAAAAAGGAUUCACGUAAUUCUUCACAAAGGUAAGCAGUCAAGACGAAGAGCGAGAUUCAAUUGUAUUAGAUAUUUUAUUGGUUUAACGAUAUUUCAACAGUAAGUCUAUCUUUGUGAAGUUCAAAAUAAGAGGUGAUAAAAAUUCAGAAUUAUAGAAAUUUGAAUUUAAAGCAUGAACGAGAGCAACCGCACGCUGGUGGAAUGACAUCAUCAGUCUUUAAGUUUCAAUUCUAUAACAGGCGAAAAGAAAAAGAAAAAGACAGGAAAAAGACAGAAAAAAGAAGACGACAGGAAAAAGAAAAGGGAAAAGAAGAAUAUUUAAUCAAACAGUUUUGUAUAAAUCUGUUGAUAUUCUCUUGUCAUUUUAUUCAUUCAUCCAGAAGUGAAAGUGAAGUAGAUAUUUUCUGAGAAUAUGCACUUUGAAGUCUUAUUCAAAACUGCAGCCGUUUGAAACGAAAUGUUCGGCAAGUUCUGUCAAACUACUGUUAUUAUACCUGGUUUCGAAUCUGUGCCCAUUAAACCUUUUGUUUAAUAGUUCUGUCGUACAGCCAACAUAAAUUUUUUUCCGUCUCGAUAUUAAGCGUUCUGUAUACUAUAAUUUUCUUUUCUGCUCGUUCAACUGCUUCUCUUGGCGGUAAUAUUUUCAGACAAUUUCCUUCCUUCUUGAAUUUUUCUAAAUUCUUUCUCUCAAUGUGGGUCCUUUCAGUUGCAUUGCAUCCGCAGAAAGGCUUUUGCCCGCCGCCACCGCGUAACUUGCAGGCUCCAUACCCAACAAUGGGUAGAAAAAAAACAAUUUUCAAAUGUUCAUCAUUAAUUGAUAACAAUAUGUUCAACAAUAAUUUCAAUAAUUUCCAAUAACAAAAUUCAGCAACUCACUGUACUUCAUGCUCUUAUCCACAAAAUCACAACAGCCAACUCAGAAAUCUUCUACUCAACUCCAUUCUUUCUUCAUUUGGCACCAUGGCCACUAACGCAGAGGGGGACACUACAAGGACAGACACAACACCACAGUGGGGACAUUAAACAUAAAACGAAUGAGGAUGAAUGUUAUAUAAAAAUGGAAAAAAUGAAAUGGCUGCAUGGGCCCCACUCCCAUGAAGUACCAUUUGAACGUUUAUACACACGUUUCUUCUGGGUUUGGAAGCGGAUAUUUGUAAUUUUUUAAACAAUCAUUAAGACCAGUUGAAAAGUCCGCACAU